GUGGCCGUAGCUCAGCCCGGUUAGAGCACCUGGUUGUGGUCCAGGAAGUCGGGGGUUCAAAUCCCCUCGGUCACCCCA
rnacentral:tRNA from 1 species